UACGAAGGGUGCAAACGUUGUUCGGAAUUACUGGGCGUAAAGGGCGCGUAGGCGGCCUUCUAAGUCAGACGUGAAAUCCCCCGGCUUAACCUGGGAACUGCGUCUGAUACUGGGAGGCUUGAGUAUAGGAGAGGGAUGUAGAAUUCCAGGUGUAGCGGUGAAAUGCGUAGAUAUCUGGAGGAAUACCGGUGGCGAAGGCGGCAUCCUGGACCAUUACUGACGCUGAGGCGCGAAAGCUAGGGGAGCAAACGGG
rnacentral:rRNA from 1 species